rnacentral:pre_miRNA from 1 species
AGCAACGUUACAAAUCGUAAGGCGAGUUAUAUGUUUUUUGAAACUCACCAUAUGAUUUGUAACUGUGCU